AAUUGAUUUGGCAGAUAAUUGCGUUAAAUUUAGAAUUUAAUUAUAUAAUUUAUAUUAUAUUCAAU
rnacentral:tRNA from 1 species